GGUUUUGAUUUUGUUUCAAACGGUAGUUAGUACAUAUCGGUCCCUGUGCAGAUAUAAGCUGUUAAACUGUUAAUUUGUAAGCAUAGACAACUCAGCUUUAAAAUUUUUAUAGUUAAUAGAUCACUUAUCCUCCUCGACCUAUUCUGCUAACAAGCGCUACAGUUUAGUCCUAGUUAACUACGCGAAGGAGAUUCGCUUUUAACUUAAUACUAUAUAUGAAUAAGUGUUAAAAUAAAUGAAUUUUGAAGGAAUCUAAUGAGUUCAGUUAUUUAAGAAAGUAAGCAUCCAACCUUCACCUAAGAGUGCGUCACGCGUAACGGAUUGUAUUGUCUCGCAGUUAAAUGAUUCCUAAGUGGGUUAUUACUCUUAAGACGGUUAAGGUCUCCAGCUAUCCAUUUGUAAAAGGCGACGGCAUUGCUUUUGAAGACUGUGGUCAGCGGUUACGCAGGUCGCGUUGUACUAUUUCAUUGAGCACAAUCCUAAGCGCGUUUGUUAAAAGCCGAUCUCAACGCAAAAAAGUGGACGUCUAGCUUCAAGGAGAAGGAAAUCAGUUAUAGUAUUAAGUCUAACACAUUAAUAACUUACGUUCAAGGAACUGACUCGAAGCAAAGCAAUUAAAACUCCUGUUAUAUUUCCCAACCCACCACAAGGUGAGGCCCAUAUUUAGAGGAAAGGAAAUCAUUUGUUUAGGUUAUUGAGAGAAUAUAUCACUAGAAAAUAAAAGGGAAAAUUCCACUUUUUUUAGGUAAGACUUUUCAAGCAUAUAUCUUGUUUUUAGGUAUAUGAAGGAACCACACCUGUGUGACUAGUAAGUUUUCCUCAAAGCCCGAUGCCGAGUUUUCUAGUUUUUCUCUUGCUUAACGUUUUUGUUAAAGGGUCUCGUUGUCUCCGUGCGAUCCUGAGGGGAGCCGGGAUGGUGUCUUCUUACCGAAUCGAAACCUCAAAAAAUUUUCCGAAUAAUAUAUCCUGUAACACAAACAAAUUUUAAGCUUUAAAAAGGUCUGGUCUUAGUUCAAAUAACAUUAGGAUAAUUGAAGACGGCCUUUUAUCUAAUUUCGUUGCUUUACAACAUUUGUAUCUAGGUAAGAAUCAACUUUCCUUAAUAAGUCGCGGAACAUUUAAAGGUCUUAAGAACUUGCAAAUAUUAAGACUUAUUGAAAACAGCAUUACUUCAAUCGAGCAUGAUUCCUUUUCUGAGUUAAAAGCUUUAGUCAGCUUAGAAGUGGAUGCUAAUUUAAAGAUUUAGAAGGAAAGAGACUCACUUCAAUUAGCCUAGGAGUAUUCAACGGUUUACUAAAGCUAAGUUCUUUGUAGUUGAAGACGUUGCAGAGUUAUUGUUAUUCUUAAAAAUUCUAUACGCUAAUUUUAUUUUUUUAUUGCAUUGCAAAUUAUUACAACCUUAUUAAUCUACAUAGAAACGCAUUGAAAUAAUUAAUGAUUUUUGCUAAAUAUAUGUUAAUAUAUUUAAUAUUAAUGUUGCAACUGUUUGUUUAAUGUCACAAUUUUUUUAAUUCGAUAUUGUUUGCAGGGAGCUAACUUGCUAAGAUACCUUGCCAAAAACUCAAUAAUUGCUUUGCAGAACUUGACAACUUAAAAGCCUUAGAUUUCAGGGGGAAUCCUCUGACAUACAUCGGAAUUUUCGCUUUUGGUAAAUCCUAUGAUUCGGAAAAAAACUUAAUUUUUGAAUUUAAUGAAAAAUUCCUUUGUUGCUCCCGGGUUCUUCACAAUUAUCUUAUAAAUUCAAAUCCAAACUGCACGCAUGAUGGAAUUAGUGAAAUUUUUAUUUCUUUUGAUGAAAAAAAGUGCAACCCACACGCAAUUACGCUAGAAUCGCCAGAUUUUUCUCCCGGCCCUGAAAUUCAGAUUGAAAAAAAAGAUCGUCCAUCCCCGCAGUUAAUUGGUAAUCAGCUUACUAAAGAGAUUUCUAUCUCUCAUCCCUCUGAUACGAAUUCUUUUAAAAUUUUGAUUGAAAUCUCGAGAAAAAGAUUUAGAAAAGCCGUUCCCUCCAAGUUUUACUAAAAAUCAAUCUACAAGACCUUUUAAUACGAGAACCCUCAAAGUUUCAACCAGUUCCCAGUCAAAAGUGGAUUUCGAUAAGUUGAGUACAUCUAAUUCCGCUGGAAGUUACAAAUCUAUUGGAUUCUCUCAAGUGUUAAAACGUUUCAGUCUUGUAAUUUCUUUUUCUUUGCAGGCAUUCGAGCGUUGAAUCUAAAAAUAAAAAAUACUUAUUUUUUUA